rnacentral:lncRNA from 1 species
AGGUAUUCUUCUUUUUGAUUUGUAUGCACGGUCAAGACAGUCAUGCAAGAGGAUGUUUAUGUUACCUUUGAAAAGUUUGAAGCUUUUGCAAAGGAACUUGCAGCAAAAACACUCAUUCUGGAAAAUUUUAGAAAUUAUUUAGAACCAGAGCCUUACACUUAUCAUUCAUAGGAGGAGGAUUCAUCAUCUCAGGUUGAAGAAACCUUGACUCAGUUUAUAAAGAUGACUCAAGUCAAUUUC